AGGCGAGUGGCUCAAUUGGCAGAGCACCGGUCUCCAAAACCGGGGGUUACAGGUUCAACUCCUGUCUCGCCUG
rnacentral:tRNA from 1 species